rnacentral:lncRNA from 1 species
AAAUUACCAAUGAUAAAACUCUCACUUUUGUGGAGGUCACUUUCAUAUGUCAUGACACUGUCUGAUGACGAUGUUGCUUUGAAGGUUGUUCAUUAAUGACAUGACUUCUGAAUAUUUCAGGAUGUGUCAUCAGUAUUGUACAGACCCCUAUGGUGGCUGAUUAUUGCCAUCACCAUAUUGCCCUGAAAAGCCAGGCUGUUCUGAAAAGACCAACAGAGAAGUGCUAGUGAAGGAUAUCCUGGGAUGCUGAUGAGACUGAUCCAUGAUACCAGGUGUGAUCACCUUGACAACCACCCAGUACCACAAGCCCUCCAAACUGGAGGAUGGCCAGCUCUCAGCGUGAACUACAUUUACAAUGUGUUUGAAGCUGAGGGCUAGCUAUACAUAUCUUAUAAUGCAUUAUAACCUGUGAAAUAUGGAGGGUCUGUCAUUGAAGACAUGACAGGACAGACUGCUGAGAUCAGUAAUGGCGGAGAGUGGCUGGUGUAUCUUGUAUCUUCCAGCAUGUGAUGUUUUUGGAAUUGGAGUAUUGCAGAGAGUUACAUCAUUAACUGUUUGGUUUGGAUGUUUUUAUUAGGGGUGAAUGCUGUAUGUCAGGUUGCAUGGAAUAUAUCGUCUCCAUUGCCAGUCCUCACAUGAUUUGUGUUUUACCUUGUGCUUCAAAUCAGAUGUCAUAGUUGGGAUGCUUUUAGUGUUGCUGUUUAUGUUGAAGAGACUUAUGGUAAUGUAAGCUGUGGGAUCGGGCCAGCAGCACUUCAUCCGCAGACUUCCAGCGCAAUUGUAGCCAGGUCUGCAUCUCUGGUCUGUUGGUGGUAUAUCUGUAUACAGAUUUUAUGUUGGACAAGUAGUAUUAUUACUUUGCAUCGAUCACAAAGAUAGCUAUUUGGGCGGGACAUGGGUUUCCUGCUGACAGCCAGACAACCACUCGUCAUUAGUGGUCCGUCUGCUGCAUCACGCACAUCGCACCACACCACAUGCACAUCGCACGCCUUACGCACAUCGCACGCCUCACGCACAUCGCACACCUCACGCACACCUCAUGCACACCUCAUGCACAUCGCGUGCCUCACGCACAUCGCACACCUCAUGCACAUUGCACGCCUCACGAACAUCGCACGCCUCAUGCACAUCGCACACAUCACGCACAGUUGAACCCAAUAUGUUUUUUCAGCGUCACUGUGAUUAUUUUGUCUGUUCAUUUGUUGAUCGAAGAAAUUCACUGUGAAGGCGACUCACUCAUUUUAACUUCACUGUAGUCAAAUGUAAUUAUAUUUCAUACAUUUAGAGUGAGUUGACCUGGUCAUCUGAGGGGCUGCAAAUCAUGGUGCAGAGUUGUGUCCCUUGGGCAGGCCAGAACCCAACGACAGAUCAUUUGACAGAGGCACCAGUACUUCACUACAUUCUUACAGUCACAGUGUCUUUUUAGAAUUACCUGAAUACAAUACUGUAGAUUUCAUUUAUAUCGAAACAUCAUGGAAUGUACAAAUGUAAAAACAUGUCAUGUAUUUUCAAGAAAUUUAGCUCUUGCCUACCAAGCACUGAAGAUGUGUGUUUGAUAUUUGCUGUCAAUUUAGGGCAUCUACUUUUAUUAUCAUUUUUAUUUUACAAAAUAGAUAUUUAUGUGAAUGUCAAUGUUAAUCAUCAUGACAACAGAUUGUAUAUAUAUAUAUGAGUGUGGGCCAGACAAUCCUGUGACUGACGUAAGCUGGGGGCCUAGUCUAAUCCAGAAUCCUCACCCGGUUGGAGUUUACAGUAGCCCAGCGAACCUGGGCUAUGUGAAUCCACAGCGAACUGGGGCUACGUGAACCCACAGCGAACCUGGGUUACGUGAACCCACAGCGAACCUGGGUUACGUGAACCCACAGCGAACCUGGGUUACGUGAACCCACAGCGAACCUGGGUUACGUGAACCCACAGCGAACCUGGGUUACGUGAACCCUCAGCACAUACACUGACACAAUGACAGCAUGUUUUUUCUGACACGUAAUUUUCGAAAAAUACAAUUUUAUGCUUAUUUGUAAAUAGCUUGCGGGGUGUAGCAGACUGCCAAUUAUUACACUUUUAUCAUGAGGCAUAUUGUUUUCUUUUCUUCCAUGAUAUAUCAGACAGUUACAUUUUUCUAAAAUGAUUAGGCACUGUCAUCUGAAACUGCAAUUCCCUGUGCAGAGUUGCGUCCCUUGGGUGAGCCAGGAACAUAUGAUUGUAGGUUUGAAUCCUCGUUCACCCUGAUUAUAGAGAUGACAAAACUAUAUGGAGACGAAUGAUUUGUUUGAGUGGCAUUCUAGAAGUUGGUGGAAAAGAGAUACCACCAGAACACCCCCCAGACAAAUCACCCUGACUAUGUUUCUUGGCUUGUCGGACCCAUAUCUAGCUUUUGGGUUCUGUUGCAGUGGUAAAAGCAGACCUGCCUCUCUGUGGAUAUUCCACUGACAAUAACCUUACACAAUCUGAUAUAAUGGAUAUCUGUUAAAAGCAGUAUUAAACCUAACUCACUAAAGUAAAUGAAUUCCCACACGCCAAUGAUUGUUUGAGCUUUAUAUGUGUAUAUGUAUCAAAUGACUGGAGAAUGAAUGACAGGGUUAGUUAAAAAGAAGUUGAAGCACAAUAAACUUUGUGUGUUUAUCAAAUGGUCAACUUGCUGUUCCAUAUCCUUCUAUUAAUGUUUCUAUAGGAAAAGCAUCAAAUGGUUGCAGUUUUCUAAUGUUAGUUUCUGGGUGUUGUGUAUGGAGAAUUCCACUAGUAAGGUGUUGAACUUGUAGUUGGUGGUGGUAACAGGAGACUGGUUGAACUGAUGAAGUCAUUCAGGUUUGUGUCUUGCCACUGUCCCAUAUCUUCCUUCCUUAUCAAUGAAGAUAGUUUUCUGAUAUGUGGCAAGUUACUCAAUGACAACAUGUUUAUUCCCAACAUAUCUGUGAGAGGUGUUGAGAUGAUCUGUGAUCUGCUUUUUUCUGACUUUUCUGCUGAUCUCAGCUGUCCUGACCUUGCAUAUACUACAUGACAUGAUGUUGCAGUAAAUAAAUCGUGAAGGGUUCGCCGUAUGUCGGGAAUAUACUACAUGACAUGAUGUUGCAGUAAAUAAAUCAUGAAGGGUUUGCCGUAUGUCAGGAAGGUUUACCGAUAUACAAAGAAAUAGGAAUACCUAUCUAUUCAAUGCUAUUUCAAUGAAAUUGAUUAAAUGAGUAUCUAAGAAUGAAAUAAAUGUUUUAAAACAGUU